rnacentral:rRNA from 1 species
CACGGGGGGAGCAAGCGUUGUUCGGAAUCACUGGGCAUAAAGGGCGUGUAGGCGGUCAAGUAAGUGGAAUGUGAAAUCCCCCGGCUUACCCGGGGACCUGCAUCCCAAACUGCUUGGCUUGAGUACGGGAGAGGAUGAGGGAAUUCCUGGUGUAGCGGUGAAAUGCGUAGAUAUCAGGAGGAACACCGGUGGCGAAGGCGCUCAUCUGGCCCGAUACUGACGCUGAGGCGCGAAAGCUAGGGGAGCAAACGGG